rnacentral:rRNA from 1 species
GAUGAACGCUAGCGGCAGGCCUAAUAUAUGCAAGCCGAACGGCAAGUUGAGUAGCAAUACUUGACCUAGAGUGGCGUACGGGUGCGUAACACGUAUGCAACCUACCCUUUACAGGAGGAUAGCUCGGGGAAACUCGGAUUAAUACUCCAUAAGAUCGUGUUGUGGCAUCACAGAGCGAUAAAAACUGAGGUGGUAAAGGAUGGGCAUGCGUCUGAUUAGUUAGUUGGCGGGGUAACGGCCCACCAAGGCGAUGAUCAGUAGGGGAACUGAGAGGUUGAUCCCCCACACUGGCACUGAGAUACGGGCCAGACUCCUACGGGAGGCAGCAGUAGGGAAUAUUGGUCAAUGGAUGGAAGUCUGAACCAGCCAUGCCGCGUGCAGGAAGACGGCCUUCUGGGUUGUAAACUGCUUUUUACUGGGGAUAAAAGGCCCUUGCGAGGGAGCUUGAAGGUACCAGUAGAAUAAGCCACGGCUAACUACGUGCCAGCAGCCGCGGUAAU